rnacentral:tRNA from 1 species
CUCUUCGUAGCUCAGGUGGUAGAGCAGCUGACUCUUAAUCAGCGGGUCGUAGGUUCGAGUCCUACCGGGGAGA